rnacentral:rRNA from 1 species
AGGAUCAACGCUGGCGGCGUGCCUUAUGCAUGCAAGUCGCACGCGCCGCAAGGUGAGUGGCGGACGGGUGAGUAACACGUAGGAACCUGCCCGAAAGUGGGGAAUAACUCCUCGAAAGAGGGGCUAAAUACCGCAUGUGGUCGAGAGACUAAAGCUUCGGCGCUUUCGGAGGGCCUGCGGCGAUUAGCUUGUUGGUGGGGUAACGGCCUACCAAGGCGACGAUCCGUAGC